rnacentral:rRNA from 1 species
UACGGAGGGUGCAAGCGUUAUCCGGAUUCACUGGGUUUAAAGGGUGCGUAGGUGGGUUGGUAAGUCAGUGGUGAAAUCCCCGAGCUUAACUUGGGAACUGCCAUUGAUACUAUCAAUCUUGAAUACCGUGGAGGUCAGCGGAAUAUGUCAUGUAGCGGUGAAAUGCUUAGAUAUGACAUAGAACACCAAUUGCGAAGGCAGCUGGCUACACGAAUAUUGACUCUGAGGCACGAAAGCGUGGGGAUCAAACAGG